GCUACCCAAUUCUUCUGUUUCGUCUUGACAGAUAAAAAAUAUUGGAACUGGCAACGCUCACUGAUCAAAGUGUGCCAUUCAGUGAAAACAAUCUUGUCAUCAGGCGCUUAUUGUGUAAUGUAUGGACAUUUAUUGCCAUUGACACUCGUUCAAUCUUUCCGAAAACAUCAAGCUAUUCAAAUUACAACAGCGAAUGAAUAACGGUGUUGCUGCCGCAAGUGAAAAUAAGCGUUCAGAAGCCGAUAUUCUAUGAACACAUACGAUUGUCGAUCAUCUUUACUACGAUAAACCAGCAUCGGCAUUAGGCUCUACAAACAUUGCAUAUUAUCGCAAAAACUACAAAAUACUAACAGUUGAAACUUGAGAAGCUCUCUUACUGGCUAUAAUCGAGUUUCUGCUUUCCCUAUUGAGCGUGUUCGAAGCAUGGUUCAUGUUUUCCGUUCUCUGUGAGGUGGAAACCCAUUUCUGGAAUUAUCUGAAUUUCUCCAGGAUUUAAUGAAGAAAUCAUCCAUCGUAUGUCAGCAGUUGGUCGUACUAUGGAUGUAAAAGAAAAGGUUGUCGCCAUUUUGAUCGACGGAAUGUAUAUAAAACCAUUAAUUGAAUAUCACUCAGGAGCAGAUAUAUUUUUUGGAUAUCCAAAUGAUGGUGGUCUAGAAAAAUAUAUCGAGGAAAAAGAUUGUUUAAAUUUGGGAAUGAAGGCAUCACAAUAAUGUUUAGAAGUAUUUAUUCCAAUUUUAAGCAAGUUUUUGGAUAUUUCCUGGCUAACUCAACUCUUGGUAACGAAAAACAAGCAGAAAUAAUAGUAGAUGCAGUGAGAACUAUUAUAAACAUCGGAUUUCAUCCGGUGGUUACCAUUAUGGAUCAGCAUGCUACGAAUUGUAGAAUGGUAGAACAAUUAGGUGCAGAAAGAGAAAAUCCAUUUUUCAUGGUGGAUUCAACACCAGUGGUUGUCAUGUACGAUAGUCCACACUUAAUCAAAUCUUUACGCAAUAAUUUAUUUUAUAAACAUUUAUUAUGCGAUGAAAACAUCGUUUCUUUCCGGUAUAUAAGAGAAUUAUUUGAAAUUGAUGUGAAAAACAUGCCGCGCAUGGUCCCAAAACUAACAAACAAGGCGAUUGCAUUGCAAGCAUUCGAUAAGAUGAAUGUGAAAACUGCAACUAGAACUUUAAGCAGAACAACAGCAAAAGCGAUGGAAGUUUAUAUAGAAUUGAACCAAUGAGGUUGAUACUAAGGUGUGGCAAUGCUAUUGCUCUCUCGCUCGAUCUCUGUAAAGCACGUGGACAGCAGUUUUAUGGAAAAUAUAUGGAGUUGAACUUUAUUACGUAAUAAAGUUACAGAAAUUGAGCGAGAGAGCAAUACUGCAUUGCCACACCUUAGUAUCCAGUACAUUGGAAUUGAAUAUCCUGCCAAAAGAAGCGUUCGCUACUGCUGAAUUCAUCAAUCAAGUCAAUGCGUUAUUAGAUCUGUUUAAUUCUAGGUUCGAAAACGAUUCUGUAAAGGCAAGAAUGAUGUUUUUGCAACCAUAAACAUUAACGUCAUGCUUUUUAUUUAUCAUAGCCCCUUCGAGCAGCUAUUUCGGAAAAUUCAGAGCAUUGGAGCUUUCUGUUGAAGAUUGAAAAGAUUCUCGAGCAUGCAUUGUUUGUUCCUGAAACUUCAUUCAAUUCGUUAAAUGUAAUACACCAUGCUAUUUUCCUCUAUGUAUAUUACACAUAUAGAGCAAUACAUUUUGCUCUCAAUUUUACAUACACAUCAGUUAUGUAUGAGUCAAUAUGUAUGAGUUAAUUCGAAAUAUUUAUCCAGGCAUCUCAAGAUUCAACGAAUUCCCUAACUGCAACUCAGAGGACUCCUCCUUGUCCUAAAGGAUUUAUUCACAUCAUAAAUGCAAUCCGAUUAUUGUGGAGAAUCGUACACGAAGAAUACGGUUUUACACAUUUGUGUAUGAAAAAAAGUGUGUCAGGAUGCGCUAGAGAACACGUUUGCAGCAGUCAGGCGAUCUUGUGGAUGUAACGAUACUCCAACUAGCCAUCAAUUUGGAAUCGCAGUGAAAUAUAGCAGUGUUCGUGGAACAUUGGAAAAAAAUUACGGUUCCAACUGUGAACCCGAUCAAACUUCUAAUCUUCUCAAUGUUGAAGAAAACGAUAAACUUCCAGAAAGUUUCGAAGAGUUAGAAAAAGAUCCAUUAACGCUCAAUAGAAGUUGUGUCACGCACGUCUUUUGAGCCAUUAGAUUUUGACAGCGAAAUGCCAAAUAUUCCCGAAACAAACGGAUUAGUCUACAUCAUGGGAUUCGCAACAUCCAAACUAUCACACAAAAAUUGUAAGUAAAACAUGAACUUGGCACAUAAUAGUAUACAAACUCUCAAUGUAAACUAUACAUAUUGCAAACUAAAGCACUUCGUAAAUGCAUCAGGAUUCAAUUUUUCAAAUCAUACGACGUUAGAGAUAUAUAUAAUAUUACUAUUUGCUUUUAAGCAGAAAUUUUACCAGUUUCUUGGAGAUAAAUAGGCUGGUUUGUUUUGACAAAUUCACAUCAUGCGUUUUGAAUACUCUCAUCAAAGGACAAAUGAGCAAAAUGAUGCAUAACUUUAAUAAAAAUCGGUACAUUAGUCGCCGAAAGCGAAAUGGAAAAGCUAGAAGAAUGGGUCUUGCAGGCAGAGUAACAAAAGCAAAAAAAUGCACAGAGGGUGCUACAAUUUAUUCUAAAAAGACCCAAAGAGCAUGAAAUCUGUGAA